UACGUAGGGUGCAAGCGUUGUCCGGAAUUAUUGGGCGUAAAGAGCUCGUAGGCGGCUUGUCGCGUCGGCUGUGAAAACCUGGGGCUCAACCCCGGGCCUGCAGCCGAUACGGGCAAGCUAGAAUUCGGUAGGGGAGGACUGGAAUUCCUGGUGUAGCGGUGGAAAUGACGCAGAUAUCAGGAGGAACACCGGUGGCGAAGGCGGGUCUCUGGGCCGAUAUUGACGCUGAGGAGCGAAAAGCGUGGGGAGCAAACAGG
rnacentral:rRNA from 1 species